GCCUGGGUGGCUCAGUCGGUUAAGCAUCCGACUUCGGCUCGGGUCCUGAUCUCACGGUCGGUGGGUUCAAGCCCCACGUCAGGCU
rfam:Felis catus isolate Cinnamon breed Abyssinian chromosome D1, whole genome shotgun sequence.